rnacentral:rRNA from 1 species
AUUGAACGCUGGCGGCAUGCCUUACACAUGCAAGUCGAACGGUAACAGGUCUUCGGAUGCUGACGAGUGGCGAACGGGUGAGUAAUACAUCGGAACGUGCCCGAUCGUGGGGGAUAACGCAGCGAAAGCUGUGCUAAUACCGCAUACGAUCUACGGAUGAAAGCGGGGGAUCGCAAGACCUCGCGCGGACUGAGCGGCCGAUGGCAGAUUAGGUAGUUGGUGGGAUAAAAGCUUACCAAGCCGACGAUCUGUAGCUGGUCUGAGAGGACGACCAGCCACACUGGGACUGAGACACGGCCCAGACUCCUACGGGAGGCAGCAGUGGGGAAUUUUGGACAAUGGGCGCAAGCCUGAUCCAGCCAUGCCGCGUGCAGGAUGAAGGCCUUCGGGUUGUAAACUGCUUUUGUACGGAACGAAAAAGCUCUCUCUAAUACAGGGGGUGAAUGACGGUACCGUAAGAAUAAGCACCGGCUAACUACGUG